rnacentral:tRNA from 1 species
UCCACAGUAGCUCAGUGGUAGAGCUAUCGGCUGUUAACCGAUCGGUCGUAGGUUCGAGUCCUACCUGUGGAGCCG